rnacentral:rRNA from 1 species
AACGAACGCUGGCGGCAGGCUUAACACAUGCAAGUCGAACGCAUCCUUCGGGGUGAGUGGCAGACGGGUGAGUAACGCGUGGGAACGUGCCCUUCAGUUCGGGAUAACCCAGGGAAACUUGGGCUAAUACCGGAUACGUGCGAGAGCAGAAAGAUUUAUCGCUGAAGGAUCGGCCCGCGUCUGAUUAGCUAGUUGGUGGGGUAAUGGCCCACCAAGGCGACGAUCAGUAACUGGUCUGAGAGGAUGAUCAGCCACAUUGGGACUGAGACACGGCCCAAACUCCUACGGGAGGCAGCAGUGGGGAAUAUUGGACAAUAGGCGCAAGCCUGAUCCAGCCAUGCCGCGUGAGUGAUGAAGGCCUUAGGGUUGUAAAGCUCUUUCGUCCGGGACGAUAAUGACGGUACCGGAAGAAGAAGCCCCGGCUAACUUCGUGCCAGCCGCCGCAGUAA